rnacentral:rRNA from 1 species
AUUGAACGCUGGCGGCAUGCUUUACACAUGCAAGUCGAACGGUAACAGGGUGCUUGCACCGCUGACGAGUGGCGAACGGGUGAGUAAUGCGUCGGAACGUGCCGAGUAGUGGGGGAUAACGCAGCGAAAGUUGUGCUAAUACCGCAUACGUACUGAGGUAGAAAGUGGGGGACCUUCGGGCCUCACGCUAUUCGAGCGGCCGACGUCUGAUUAGCUAGUAGGUGAGGUAAAGGCUCACCUAGGCGACGAUCAGUAGCGGGUCUGAGAGGAUGAUCCGCCACACUGGGACUGAGACACGGCCCAGACUCCUACGGGAGGCAGCAGUGGGGAAUUUUGGACAAUGGGCGAAAGCCUGAUCCAGCCAUGCCGCGUGUCUGAAGAAGGCCUUCGGGUUGUAAAGGACUUUUGUCAGGGAGGAAAAAAGGCGAUUCUUCGUCACUUGACGGUACCAGAUGAAUAAGCACCGGCUAACUCCGUGCCAGCAGCCGCAGUAAAAC